UUUCCGUAGGUGAACCUGCGGAAGGAUCAUUAUUGAAUGAACUUGACUUGGUUGCUGCUGGUCUUUUCGAAGGCAUGUGCACACUUUGUCAUCUUUAUAUCUCCACCUGUGCACCUUUUGUAGACCUGAAACCAAAUUUCCGAGGCCACUCGGUCGUGAGGAAAUGCUUAACAGCUUUCCUUGUUAGGUUCCAGGGCUAUGUUUUCAUAUACACCAUAAGAAUGUAACAGAAUGUCAUUAUUAGGCUUAGUUGCCUUAUAAACUAUAUACAACUUUCAGCAACGGAUCUCUUGGCUCUC
rnacentral:misc_RNA from 1 species